rnacentral:lncRNA from 1 species
GUAAGUAGGCCUCUCCAUCCUGAUAGCGAGGGAGGCCUCAUCGGGUUUGACCCCGGCAUGCUUUGACACCUUUUUCACUGUUGGAAGAUGCUCUGACUUUAAAGUAGAAAGCAGACUUGACUGAAGCUGAUUGACACAGGUCAAGGGGACUUCAAGGAAGAAAGCCAGCCUUAGACUGACAUCAGAGAACCAAACUCCGGUGUCUAAGCUCAAGUAAUACAAGUAAUUGGGAAGACACUGGCUCAGAGCCUGUCUCUGGUGACCACUGAAUUGUCCAGCACCUGAGGUCCCUGGAGCCCACGGACUGAGCCCAUCUGGGCUAAAAGAGGUCCCAUACAUCCUUCUCAAAGGCCUAUAUAAAUGCCAAGCAGAGUUAUAGCAGGAGGUUAGAAUCCUGAGAACUGUUUGGAAUAAGGAAUCCAAAUAUUGUCUUCCAGCUUCACCUUGUCACGACAGUCCUCGCCAGGGACAGCUGAGCCUUGCGUGGAUGAAACAGUCCCAACGAACACUUUAAAAAGACAAAUGUUCCCGACAGCACUGGUUGAAUUCAAAACUCGGCAGAUCCAUGUUCUUAUCCUUAGACAAGAGAGGGGCCAUAACAAGAUGGAAUGACGGAACAGACGUGAGAGAUGAUGGUACAGUGACUCGGGUAACCCCAGAAAAGGGACAGCUCUUCUACAGCUCAGUGGGGACAGGGACAAAAAGAAACAAUUUCAUUUCAGUCCACCCAGAGGGUCUGCACUUCUCGGAGCCAGAAGGUGGAGAAGAGUAGGGAUGGAGGAAGUUCGAAGUUUUAGGAGUCUGCUCUUGGGUCCCUAGGCAUGAGGACAAGCUUUUCCUGUACUCAAUGCUCAUCUCUCAGUUGUGCCCACAUUGGUACACAUUACUUGCUUUCAACUGCUGCUGCUGCUGUUUCCUAAUUCAAUAAAGAUAUGGCUGGCUCAGCAGAGAGCUGUCAUCCA